rnacentral:snRNA from 1 species
AGCUUUGUGCAGUGGCAGUAUUGUAGCCAGGGAGGUUUAUCUGAGUUGUGAUUAUUGUUAUUAAAAACUUUCCCCAGGCUCAGCACCUGUGGCUCAAGUGGCUAAGGCGCCAGCC